UUGAUCCUGGCUCCAGGACGAACGCUGGCGGGCGGGCCUAAAUACAUGCAAGUCGAGCGCGGGAAGCGAGCUGAUCCCUUCGGGGGUGACGCUCGUGGAACGAGCGGCGGACGGGUGAGUAACACGUGGGGCAACCUGCCUGUAAGAUCGGGAUAACUCCGGGAAACCGGGGCUAAUACCGGGUAAUACUUUCUUUCGCAUGAAGGAAAGUUGAAAGAUGGCUUCUCGCUAUCACUUACAGAUGGGCCCGCGGCGCAUUAGCUAGUUGGUGAGGUAACGGCUCACCAAGGCGACGAUGCGUAGCCGACCUGAGAGGGUGAUCGGCCACACUGGGACUGAGACACGGCCCAGACUCCUACGGGAGGCAGCAGUAGGGAAUCUUCCGCAAUGGACGAAAGUCUGACGGAGCAACGCCGCGUGAACGAUGAAGGUCUUCGGAUCGUAAAGUUCUGUUGUUAGGGAAGAACGAGAGUACCGUGCGAAUAGAGCGGUACUUGACG
rnacentral:rRNA from 1 species